rnacentral:rRNA from 1 species
UAGCGGCGGACGGGUGAGUAACGCGUGGGCAACCUGCCUUUUACAGGGGGAUAACACUGGGAAACUAGUGCUAAUACCGCAUAACAUAUUGAUAGGACAUCCUAUUAAUAUCAAAGGAGAAAUCCGGUAGAAGAUGGGCCCGCGUCCGAUUAGCUAGUUGGUGGGGUAGAGGCCUACCAAGGCGACGAUCGGUAGCCGAACUGAGAGGUUGAUCGGCCACAUUGGGACUGAGAUACGGCCCAGACUCCUACGGGAGGCAGCAGUGGGGAAUAUUGCGCAAUGGGGGAAACCCUGACGCAGCAACGCCGCGUGAAGGAUGAAGGUUUUCGGAUUGUAAACUUCUUUGAUGGGGGACGAAAAAAAUGACGGUACCCCAAAAACAAGCCACGGCUAACUACGUGCCAGCAGCCGCGGUAAUACGUAGGUGGCGAGCGUUAUCCGGAAUUACUGGGUGUAAAGGGCGUGUAGGCGGGUUGGCAAGUCAGAUGUGAAAUCCCAUGGCUUAACUGUGGGGCUGCAUCUGAAACUGCUGAUCUUGAGUAUCGGAGAGGAAAGUGGAAUUCCCAGUGUAGCGGUGAAAUGCGUAGAUAUUGGGAGGAACACCAGUGGCGAAGGCGACUUUCUGGACGGUAACUGACGCUGAGGCGCGAAAGCGUGGGGAGCAAACACGAUUAGAUACCCUGGUAGUCCACGCUGUAAACGAUGGAUACUACGUGUAGGGGGUAUCGACCCCCCCUGUGC